UACGAAGGGGGCUAGCGUUGUUCGGAUUUACUGGGCGUAAAGCGCAUGUAGGCGGGGCGAUAAGUUGGGGGUGAAAUCCCGGAGCUCAACUCCGGAACUGCCUCCAAAACUAUCGGUCUGGAGCAGAAGAGAGGCGAGUGGAAUUCCGAGUGUAGAGGUGAAAUUCGUAGAUAUUCGGAGGAACACCAGUGGCGAAGGCGACUCGCGGGCUUCUUGUUGACGCUGAGAUGCGAAAGCGUGGGGAGCAAACAGG
rnacentral:rRNA from 1 species